GCGUCAUGAUGUGCGUCUAGUACUUUGGAUACCAUAUGCCACUUUCACUGCAUUGAAUCUCCCUUCGGUGCCAUCAUCACCUUUAGAGGUUAACAGUGCACAGUCCUGUUAUCUGUGUGCUGAUGAACAAGCAGGAUUCCCAUUCGUGCAGUAAGGCUCCUCCCAACAUCAACCUCAUCCUUAUCAGUCAUCCAAGUCUCCACCUGCUACAUUUCUGCCAGCAUGUUUCAAGGCUUUGGGAGUCCUGCCCUACUUCCUAAUCAGUCAUCUAAGCAGAGAAGCCCAGAUCUCCCUCUUGCUGCUUCCUGCAGCUCUUCCAGGGAGACACCGGGAUGAAGACAGCCAGUAGAUGCAAUCACGACAUCACAUUCUGCAUCCACCCCAGAGCCUCCUAACAGUGAUAUCUGCCCAAAACAUGUCACCCUUGUGGCUCACAGGUUAUUUUUACAAAUUACAUUUUCACCAUAACCAUUUGCUUUAGUGUUAGUUCCUAUUCGUAUGCACUGAAUAGCAAUACAUCAUUCUCAUUCUCGUAUUCCUAUUCGCACGAGUCUCCUCAUGGUUAACUUGGGUGGUUACUUUUCCUGUAUAUUACAUUCAUAAAAAGAAGUCUGUGAUUGGUUUGCAUGUAUGCACUACUGUGACAAACAUCAGUAACUAUGUUACUACAUUUGUGUUUCCACAAAGUUCAAGGAUUAAAUCUUUCAGCUGAAUGAAACAGUUGCAAAAUCUGUUUAUUAGGUGUGUUGGUUUCAGUGAAGUACAUAAAU